GAGGGCCGGCCACGCGCCGCGCCGCCAUCUUGACGUCUGAGGAACAAAAGCGCUGAGGCCGCCGCCGGCGCCGGCCCCGCUCCAGGUGGUUAUGACAGACAUGCCACUACAGUGCCUGACUCCCAGCAUGAUUUACCACUAAAGGCUACAGCAAAAGUAUUCCUGCUUGGAAAUGGAAUGCACACAUAGUCCCAGUAUGUAGCCUCGCUCCUUUAAUUGCUAUUGAAGUGCAGGUUGCCUGACCCUGGCGGCGGGCCAGGGCUGAGCAGCGUGCGGUCACAGG
rnacentral:lncRNA from 1 species